rnacentral:rRNA from 1 species
UACGGAGGGUGCAAGCGUUAUCCGGAUUUACUGGGUUUAAAGGGUGUGUAGGCGGACUUUUAAGUCAGCGGUGAAAUCUCCGGGCUCAACCCGGAAACUGCCAUUGAUACUAUUGGUCUUGAAUGUUGAGGAGGUGGGCGGAACGGGUCAUGUAGCGGUGAAAUGCUUAGAGAUGACCCGGAACACCGAUUGCGAAGGCAGCCCACUACGCAACUAUUGACGCUGAGGCACGAAAGCGUGGGGAUCAAACAGG